rnacentral:rRNA from 1 species
UACGAAGGGGGCUAGCGUUGUUCGGAAUCACUGGGCGUAAAGCGCACGUAGGCGGUUCUUUAAGUCGGGGGUGAAAUCCCAAGGCUCAACCUUGGAACUGCCUUUGAUACUGGGGAUCUUGAGUCCGGGAGAGGUGGGUGGAACUGCGAGUGUAGAGGUGAAAUUCGUAGAUAUUCGCAAGAACACCGGUGGCGAAGGCGGCCCACUGGCCCGGUACUGACGCUGAGGUGCGAAAGCGUGGGGAGCAAACAGG